GGGGAUAUAGCUCAGUUGGGAGAGCGCUACACUGGCAGUGUAGAGGUCACCGGUUCGAGCCCGGUUAUCUCCACCA
rnacentral:tRNA from 1 species